ensembl:snRNA U6 U6 spliceosomal RNA
GUACUCGCUUCAGAAGCACAUAUACUAAACUUGGAGUGAUGCAGAGAAGAUCAGCACAGCCCCUGUGCAAGGGUGACAUGCAAAUUCGUGAAGCUUCCACAUUUUUC